rnacentral:rRNA from 1 species
UACGUAGGGUGCGAGCGUUGUCCGGAAUUAUUGGGCGUAAAGGGCUCGUAGGCGGUCUGUCACGUCGGGAGUGAAAACACGGGGCUUAACCCCGUGCCUGCUUCCGAUACGGGCAGACUAGAGGUAUGCAGGGGAGAACGGAAUUCCUGGUGUAGCGGUGAAAUGCGCAGAUAUCAGGAGGAACACCGGUGGCGAAGGCGGUUCUCUGGGCCUGUACUGACGCUGAGGAGCGAAAGCGUGGGGAGCAAACAGG